rnacentral:rRNA from 1 species
GAUGAACGCUGGCGGCGUGCCUAAUACAUGCAAGUCGAGCGAACAGACGAGGAGCUUGCUCCUCUGACGUUAGCGACGGACGGGUGAGUAACACGUGGAUAACCUACCUAUAAGACUGGGAUAACUUCGGGAAACCGGAGCUAAUACCGGAUAAUAUAUUGAACCGCAUGGUUCAAUAGUGAAAGACGGUUUUGCUGUCACUUAUAGAUGGAUCCGCGCCGCAUUAGCUAGUUGGUAAGGUAACGGCUUACCAAGGCAACGAUGCGUAGCCGACCUGAGAGGGUGAUCGGCCACACUGGAACUGAGACACGGUCCAGACUCCUACGGGAGGCAGCAGUAGGGAAUCUUCCGCAAUGGGCGAAAGCCUGACGGAGCAACGCCGCGUGAGUGAUGAAGGUCUUCGGAUCGUAAACCUCUGUUAUUAGGGAAGAACAAAUGUGUAAGUAACUAUGCACGUCUUGACGGUACCUAAUCAGAAAGCAACGGCUAACUACGUG